AAUAAAAAAAUUAAUAUAUCCACAAAUAAAUAUGUAUAUCUCUAUUCUUUAUUUUUGAGUAAAAUGAAUUAAAGUAUCACUGUAUUGGUUUUAUUACUCUCAAAGAUCACACGAUGAAUGCGUGUAGCAGACUGCAGUAUCUAAUAUUAUGCGGAUCUGAAAAACAACGACUGCGCUUGCGCAGUAUAUUUAGAGAUUAUUACAUCAGAGGGUCUUUUCUGAAAAAUAAAUAUUCGCACGUCUCUCUUUCAAAGAGUCAUAUUGAUCGCAUAGUAGUCUACAUCUGGUCAUAAUAGUCUCACAUCUGGAAUAUAAACGCAUCAAUUUGAGAACAGGUGCUACAUUCUCACGUUGAUACUUAAUUUUUUUUUACUGAAUUGUGCUCUUUCUCUCCCUCUACUUAUGUUGUAAUUUACAAUAAAAGGAAAAAAAAAAGUGUUUAUAUUGAGUGUGCCGACAAAAGGAUACGUGCAAUUUUCGUAAUUGUCUCGCGGUAAAACCCGUUUCGAUAUUCGAAAAAAAUGAUAUGCGUAGAAAACGAGAAUUUUAGACUUAAUCGAAUUCUGUUACUCGCAGUUGGCUUAUGGCCUUAUGAGCGGUCGCUACUUGUUCGAAUACAGUUUAUUUCAAUUUUUAGUAUCUUGAUAGCUUCCGUUGUAUUUCAAUAGAUUACAGCAAUCUGGACUUCAGAAUAUAAGAUUGAUCGUAUCAUCAAAAUUCUUUCUUGUGCAUUACCUUUUGCUCUGCCUGUGAUUAAAUACAUCGCAUUUAUGAUAAAUUCCUGCACUGUGAAAUAUUUACUAGAACAUCUUCAGCAUAUUUGUAACGAGCUCAAAGAUGAGAACGAAAUCGCUAUUAUGAGACAAUACGGGAACGACGCGACGCUUUUCACAACUAGGCUUUUACGUAAGACAAUUUUUUAAUUAUAUUAUUAGUAUCUCUUUAUAAAUAAUAUUAAUCAAGAUAAAACAGACAAAUAUUGCACAAUAAUGAUACAAUAUAUUUUAUUGCAUUUUUGUGAUAGAAUUCAUGCUCUAUCAAAAAACAUACCUUUUAUUUGAAAAUAGUCAACAAUUAAAUAAGUCUUUUGUUACAAACAUAUUUUAAUAAGAAAAUUAUAUUAUAUUAUUAUAUGAGUAUUUUCUAUGCUCAGUGCUUGCACUGGUUUCUGUAUGUUUUCUUAUUUUGCUACCAAUCUCGCCGCACUUACUGGACAAUAUUCUGCCUGCAAACGAAUCUCGACCACGUUUUGCAAUACCAAUUGUAACAUACUAUUUUGUCGAUCAAGAGAAGUAUUUUUAUCUAAUUUUGUUGCACAUGAUCGUUGCUCUUUGCAUCGGGAUAAUUGUGUUAAUGGCAACAGGAAGUAUAAUAAUAACUUAUCUCAAGCACGCCUGUGCAAUGUUUAGUAUUGUGAGGUGAAUAUAUAUACAAAAAUAUACUACAAAUAUUAUCCCUUCGUGGACAGAUCUCAAAAAUGACCUACAGACUGAGCCUGCAUGAGACCCGCGCGACUUUAAAAUUAAAUAUCUUUGCGAAAAAUCAAUAUUUUUUCAACUUUAUG